GGCGACUUAGCCAAGCGGUAAGGCAUGGGACUGCAACUCCCUGAUGCGCCGGUUCAAAUCCGGCAGUCGCCU
rnacentral:tRNA from 1 species